ACGGUGGGAAAACAUUUAAACGCAGAAGAAAAUUUUGCAUUAGCUGCAUAAGCUACGUCCCUCAUACUUGUGCCUACCAAGUGUGAAUGGACGUCAAACAGUAGGCUGGUCUAAUUUAGUUGUUCAUAUGAAUUAGGCGAGACAAUAUGAACUGGGGUUGUGUAGCUUGUCUGUGAGCGAUAGCAACCCGAAAUCUCAAUCAUAGACUGUGCUCGGAGAAGUCUAUAUGGCAACACUUUUGGACAGGGGUUCGACUCCCCUCAUCUCCACCA
rnacentral:tmRNA from 1 species